rnacentral:lncRNA from 1 species
AUGGCCGUCAUCUUAAGAGACGUUUGUACUUCUUGGUCUAUACUUCUGGGUAAUAGUUUUGCCUAGCCAUCUGCCUUCCUGAAUAAGGUACCAGGAGACAUGGAUGAACAUGAUAAUUGCUCUAUUUUACCACUUACUUGCAGGAACCAUUUUUAAAGUAUGAUAAGAGUGUGGGGGCCAGACAAAUGGAACAUUCCUAAUUAUAAUCAGGAGCUUCAGGUAGCACAAAAAGCUUGCUUGCAA